UACAGAGGGGGCAAGCGUUAUUCGGAAUUAUUGGGCGUAAAGGGCGCGUAGGCGGCCAUUCAAGUGACGGGUGAAAGCCCUCGGCUUAACCGAGGAACUGCCUGUCAGACUGGAUGGCUUGAGACCGGGAGAGGUGAGUGGAAUUCCCAGUGUAGCGGUGAAAUGCGUAGAUAUUGGGAGGAACACCAGUGGCGAAGGCGGAUCUCUGGGCCUGUCCUGACGCUCAGGCGCGAAAGCUAGGGGAGCAAACAGG
rnacentral:rRNA from 1 species